GUCACCUGCAAACUUACACCAACAGGAUUCUCAGAGGAGAUGUGCUUGGGACAUGCUAGUCAAGUGGAAUUCUUCCUGCUGAAGUUGUCCUUAUGGUUAAUACCUGUGGGAUUGUCAUCAGCUUCAGUUGGCACUUCUCUGUAGACCACACUAUUUUUAAUGAAGAAGAUACUCUUCCCACAGAUGCUUGGUUACCUGGAAUACUAGCUCUGAGCUAACAUCUGCUGCCAAUCCUCC